CAUCUACUCCCUCCGUCCAGAAAUACUUGUCAUCAAAAUGGAUAAAAGCGGAUGUAUCUAGACGUAUUUUAGUUCUAGAUAAAUCUAUUUUUAUCCAUUUUGAUGACAAGUAUUUUCGAACGGAGGGAGUAUCUU
rfam:Triticum aestivum genome assembly, contig: Triticum_aestivum_CS42_TGACv1_scaffold_649461_T_3DS-0.108582_6AS-0.105380